CAGGACGCCCAGCUGAAUCUGAAUUUCAAAUGAACCAUGAAUUUUUUAAGUAUAAGUAUGUCCCAUGUAAUGUUUGGGACAUACUUGUACUAAAAAAAAUGUUUCCCUGUCCAUUUGAGAUUUUACAAUUUAACAAGGCAUCUUGUAUU
rnacentral:miRNA from 1 species